rnacentral:rRNA from 1 species
CGCCUGUUUAUCAAAAACAUGUCUUUUUGAUAAUAAUUUAAAGUCUGACCUGCCCACUGAAUAUAUUAAAGGGCCGCAGUAUUUUGACUGUGCAAAGGUAGCAUAAUCAUUAGUCUUUUAAUUAAGGACUGGUAUGAAUGGUUUAACGAAAUAUUAACUGUCUCAUAAUAAUAUUAUAGAAUUUAACUUUUAAGUCAAAAGGCUUAAAUGUAAUUAGAGGACGAGAAGACCCUAUAGAGCUUGAUAUUUAUACUUUUAAUUAAUUAUUUAGAUGUUUGUAAUAUUUAAAUUUAUAAAUAUUUUAUUGGGGUGAUAAGAAGAUAAAAAUAACUCUUUUAAAUGUAUAAAACAUUAAUUUAUGAAUGAUUGAUCCAUUAAUAAUGAUUAUAAGAUUAAGUUACCUUAGGGAUAACAGCGUAAUAUUUUUUAAGAGUUCUUAUCAACAAAAAAGAUUGCGACCUCGAUGUUGGAUUAAGGUAAUAAUUGGGUGUAGAAGUUCAAAUUUUAGGUCUGUUCGACCUUUAAAUCCUUACGUGAUCUGAGUUCAGACC